AACGAACGCUGGCGGCAUGCCUAACACAUGCAAGUCGAACGAGACCUUCGGGUCUCGUGGCGCACGGGUGCGUAACGCGUGGGAACCUGCCCUUAGGUUCGGAAUAACUCCCCGAAAGGGGUGCUAAUACCGGAUCAUGUCUUCGGACCAAAGAUUUAUCGCCGUUGGAUGGGCCCGCGUUGGAUUAGCUAGUUGGUAGGGUAAAAGCCUACCAGGGCGACGAUCCAUAGCUGGUCUGAGAGGAUGAUCAGCCACACUGGGACUGAGACACGGCCCAGACUACUACGGGAGGCAGCAGUGGGGAAUAUUGGAAAAUGGGCGAAAGCAUGAUCCAGCAAUGCCGCGUGAGUGAUGAAGGCCUUAGGGUUGUAAAGCUCUUUUACCCGGGAUGAUAAUGACAGUACCGGGAGAAUAAGCUCCGGCUAACUCCGUG
rnacentral:rRNA from 1 species